rnacentral:rRNA from 1 species
AUGGAUAGGCAAGGCAUUUCAUCUCCGGUCUUCGACAACAAUGACGACGCGAACAACUACAUCACCAAAUCGUCAAUCUUCAAUCUACAACAACAAAUGCAAGGUGCACAAUCAAGAUUGCGAGAGCGCAUCGAGAACCUCUCCCUCGACAUUUGUCACUCCGAAGCAAGGAAAAUGGACUACAUCGACAACAAGCUUUCCGCACAAAAGGAGGAGCAAGAUGCAAGGAUGGAGGAGGUUCGGGCCUUAAUCAAGUCUAGUUUCCCUUCGUCAUCUUCAAGGCAGCGGCGACCAAGUCGAUCAUCUUUGGAGCGACCAAGUGAUGCAAGCGCAAGUCGUCCACGUCCACAUCUACAUGGGGACCACCAUCACGUUCGUGAUCCACAUCGUCAUGACGGACACAUCACCUCCAAGCAUCAUGUGCACGACGACGAAUGA